rnacentral:lncRNA from 1 species
AACAACAAAAAUAUCAAUCAAUCAAUCGAAGAAAUUGGUUUUUAUUUGUUUGGACUUUGGCGGCAUGGCAUACUUCCAGGGAACAUCUCCGACGAGCAUUCUGUCGCCUUCGAUAUCUUCGUACACCAAAGUGAACUCUCCAUCCAGUAACCCAGGACCUGUUAUCUUAUCUACACCAGGUUUAUUCUUCUUCUUCUUCAUUUUCUCCUCCUCUGUUUGAACUAUUUUUCAGAGAAAACACGUUACAGAAGUGAUGUAAUGCAAGAAUAGAUGAGAUGAUGUAUUGAAGUAGUGUUGUGUACCGGCAAAGAGAUCUCUGAAGAGUUCAUCGACAGCAGAUGACAGCUUGUAGUAACUGUUAUGGGUCUUGAGAUCUACUUUUCUCCCAAAAGGAAUUCCAUCCAUGUUGAUUUUCACCAACGUACUACUAGUAGCGGCGGUAGCAGAGCCUCUGAUCUCAAUCUUUUUAACCUCCGAUGAGGGUUUUGCAGAACUUGAAGAAGCUAUAUUCUUACGGAAAGAACGGAUCGGAGGCCAUCCGACAACAGAAGGAAGAUGGGUUGCAGAAACAGGUGUGUGGGAAGGUAUUUUUUGAAACCCACUUCGUUUCUCGCCGGCAGAGGAGUUGUUGGUAUUCUUGGAAGAUUUAUUAUGGAAGAGACUUAGAGUAAGACCAGAGCUAUCUUCUUCUUCUUCUCCUCUCUUCUGCUUAACCAUUGCCCAAUCUUCAUGCCCAGGUGGUGCAAGCCUUAGCUCGAGCUUCCUUUCAUCAGCAUACCCUAAAUCUGUUGGCGUCCAUUCUUGUUGACAUUUUGGAAUGAGAUCAAGAAGCCGAGGACUGGAGGUACCCAUAGUCGGAAGAUGGAAAUGGGGAAAGAGAAGGAUAGAAGUUAGUUCAAGGAAGGAAGAUAUU